CUUACACAAAGGAAGAUCCUCAACGUUGAAGAUGAUGAAUUCGUGGCAAUUAGUUAUUCUGUUGGUGAUAUCUUUAGUGGUGACCACUUCGUCGCAUGUGAUGAGCAGACAGAUUUUCGCACGAAGAGAUCUAGCAAGUGGUACCUUGACCAACCCAGACAUCCCUACCACCACCAAGCCCAUCACCACCACGAUUCCUAUCACCACUACCACCCCAUCUAGCAAUCGAAACAACGCUUGCGGUGGAUGCCCAGCGAGGCAUAACUGCAGAUUUACUAUAUGGCCCUGUUACCGCGGUCCUUAUGGAUGUUUAGGGAGUAAUCCGGACCCAAGUCUCCACUGCGAGAGGUACAUCUGCAAGCUCAUCUGGAUGUGUGUGGACUGGUGAUGAAUACAUUUCACAGCAAAAAAAAAAAUUUACAAUUUUUUUUUUAAUAAAACAACACAUCAACAACGUUGUCUACGGGUUGGCAGAUGUUUUUUUUUUUAAUAUCAAAUCUCGUUUUUUUUUUAUAUUUGCCAGCUAAACGGUUUCAAUUUUCUUAACUGAAAAUAAGAAAAAUAAGAACAUUAAAUAUUCUUUUAUUCA